UACGUAGGGUGCGAGCGUUAAUCGGAAUUACUGGGCGUAAAGCGUGCGCAGGCGGUUUUGCAAGCCGGAUGUGAAAUCCCCGGGCUUAACCUGGGAAUGGCAUUUGGGACUGCAAGGCUGGAGUGCGGCAGAGGAGACUGGAAUUCCUGGUGUAGCAGUGAAAUGCGUAGAUAUCAGGAGGAACACCAGCGGCGAAGGCGGCGCUCUGGGCCGGUACUGACACUGAGGAGCGAAAGCGUGGGUAGCAAACAGG
rnacentral:rRNA from 1 species